rnacentral:rRNA from 1 species
UACGUAGGGGGCUAGCGUUGUCCGGAUUUAUUGGGCGUAAAGAGCGUGUAGGCGGCCAGGUAGGUCUGCUGUGAAAACUCGAGGCUCAACCUCGAGACGUCGGCGGAAACCAUCUGGCUAGAGUCCGGAAGAGGAGAGUGGAAUUCCCGGUGUAGCGGUGAAAUGCGCAGAUAUCGGGAGGAACACCUAUGGCGAAGGCAGCUCGCUGGGACGUUACUGACGCUGAGACGCGAAAGCGUGGGGAGCAAACAGG